rnacentral:rRNA from 1 species
UGGGGAAUAUUGGACAAUGGGGGCAACCCUGAUCCAGCAAUGCCGCGUGUGUGAAGAAGGUCUUCGGAUUGUAAAGCACUUUCGACGGGGACGAUGAUGACGGUACCCGUAGAAGAAGCCCCGGCUAACUUCGUGCCAGCAGCCGCGGUAAUACGAAGGGGGCUAGCGUUGCUCGGAAUGACUGGGCGUAAAGGGCGUGUAGGCGGUUUACACAGUCAGAUGUGAAAUCCCCGGGCUUAACCUGGGAGCUGCAUUUGAUACGUGUAGACUAGAGUGUGAGAGAGGGUUGUGGAAUUCCCAGUGUAGAGGUGAAAUUCGUAGAUAUUGGGAAGAACACCGGUGGCGAAGGCGGCAACCUGGCUCAUGACUGACGCUGAGGCGCGAAAGCGUGGGGAGCAAACAGGAUUAGAUACCCUGGUAGUCCACGCCUGUAAACGAUGUGUGCUAGAUGUUGGGUAACUUUGUUAUUCAGUGUCGCAGU